UACCCAGCACCCCGAGGUGGUCGGGACGUUUUAUUGGGCCUAAAGCAUCCGUAGCCGGUUCUACAAGUCUUCCGUUAAAUCCAGCUGCUUAACAGAUGGGCUGCGGAAGAUACUAUGGAGCUAGGAGGCGGGAGAGGCAAGCGGUACUCGAUGGGUAGGGGUAAAAUCCGUUGAUCCAUUGAAGACCGCCAGUGGCGAAGGCGGCUUGCCAGAACGCGCUCGGACGGUGAGGGAUGAAAGCUGGGGGAGCAAACCGGGAUUAGAUACCCC
rnacentral:rRNA from 1 species